GUUUCCGCUGUUAACAGGCACAGCUUUUAGCUAUUGUGUCUUUCAAAGGUUUCCUUCGUGCUGCAUUUGUUGGAGAAGGUGGACGAUGUGCAUAUUUGCACUCUUCAGAAGGCGCUAAACGAUAUAGCCAAUUUGAUCAUAACGACUGCUUCGAAGUGUGAGUAGUUGAUCUUUGUUUGAAUUAGUGGAUUAUAAACAUGCAAUCCUUGCAUCUCAGCCGUUGUUACCGGUCAGAUAAGUAGCGGCUGCUACCACCAUGUCGUCUGUUGGUCAACCAGCGGAAUAUAUUUUGCAGCCUGAUUAACUGGAGUCGCCAUGUUGACCAGCGCUGAUCUAGGUACCACAAAUUCGAGUCCAAAGUUCGCAGGAGCAGCCGUCGCCAGAUUGAUCGCCACUGUGCUGGAUAUUGGAGUCUGAAUUGCUGCAAACGUGCUAGCCGCUGUCGUCUGGUAGUAUGCAUCAGAUAAUAGCUUCUUGCAGCAUAUCUUCUGAUUCUCAAUCUUUGUUGCAGUUGCCGUUCGAUCAGACGCCAUUGACGUGGAAGCUGCUCUGGUCGAGUUGUCUGAUUUGAGCGCUGAAUGCACCUAAACGUAACCAUGAUAACGAGAUCAGUAAAUCCUUCGCCAUUUUGCACAUCUGGUAUGCCGUCAAUUGUGUGCCUCACAGACAAGCUGAUAGCCGACGCCGUAUUGGUUGCCUGUGCUGUUGUUGUGUUUGUGUGGGUGCUCGUCGUUGGAGAAAUGCCCAUUGCGCUGCGGUUGGCUGCUGCAGAGUUCGCUGGAAAUAUAAAAAUACUCGUUAUCGGCACGGCUUCUUGUUGGGCCGGUGGCAUAGCGAAGUACGCUUGCCUUGCCAGACGUCUUGCUUGUAGUCGCUCUUCUAGCCGCUGUAGUGCCUGCUCUCUUUGCGCAUAUAUUUGAGCAUAUAUUUGUAUCGACUCUUGAUGUUCUCGAA